AAAAAUUUAGUUAAAUAAUAACGUUAGUUUGUCAAACUAAAAUUAUCUAAAAGAUAAUUUUUA
rnacentral:tRNA from 1 species